rnacentral:lncRNA from 1 species
UUUUUUUUUUUUUUUUUUUGUCCUUUCAACAUCCUAAGAUGUGAAAUUUAAUAAACUUUUGUCAUUGUUAUUAUCUUCUAUUUUCUAUAAUUUUUAUGUUAUACCUUUAUAUUUUUCUUAUGCUUUUUUUUACAAUUUCAGCUGUGCAAAAAGUUAUUUUAACUGAAGUGUUUAAAAUUUAUAUGGCACUUUUUGUCUUGAGUUAUAACUAAUUAAAUAAGUAAUUAAUCCAUAACAUCUCUAAAGCAACGUGCAUUUCAUGUGAGUUAAUUACAUAAAUUAAGAAAGUAAAUAUUAUACUACAGAAAUAUAAACACUGCAAGGUGAUCUAGUCAGAUGGAAGUGGUUCCAUUAAGCUUGCAAUUAAUCUGCUAGGAGAUACUAUAAAAUAUGUAGAAGAGAUAUAAUUAAAAGAAUAAACAGGAAAAACAGUUGAAAGUUUUAGAGCAUGUAUAUGUGUGUAAAUUUGCAUAAAAUGAUAAUAUUCUUAUUUGGAAAUAGUUUUCUUCAUUAUAGUUGUAGUGUUAGAAAAGUUAAUAUAUGAUGUCUGAUUAUUUACAAAAUAAUUGGUCACCCAAUAUGUCAAUCCUGAGCAGGACAUAGGUAAUAGCAUUCAGAAAAGCAAGUCAAUCUUUAACUUACAUCUCUCAUAGAAUGAUAUAUGCCUAAAGGUAUCUAUUGUUCUUAGCACUCUCUAAAUAAUGUCUUAUGUGAAUGAAUUUUGAUAAUAUUCAAUAAUGAGAAAACCCUGAUUUUCUAGUACUGAUGUCUUUAAGUACCUGAAGCAAUGGCAAAAUAUCUUGAUAUGAUCUUGAAAUGUUCAAAAAGAUAUGAAACAAUGAUUUUAGUUAGAUUAUAUUUUAUGAUAUUAUUUUGUCAGAAGGGAAACAUAGUGACUGCGAAAACUUUAGAUAAAACCAGCAUAAGGUAGCAUUCAGACAUAGUAUAGCACCAAAAGUUGUAUAAUUUGUGUCAACACAUACAUUUUAUUUUUUACAUAUUUUAAGCUCAUUGCAUGAAGAAAAUGAGAUUCAUAAUGAUUUGAUAGCUAAAUUAAAAUAUAUUUUGGGGAAACAUACCCAGUAAGACCUCACUGUUGUUGGUGUUAUCUAGAUAAGUCACUAUCGUGGUAUGCUUAGGUCAUUCAUUCUACAAAUAUUUAAUGACAACAUCUCUCUAGGCUAGGUUCAUUAUAUGUGCUGAACAAAGGCAAAGUAUGUGCCCUCAGAGAAAUUCUUUGUUAAAUCAUAUUAUCUUUGUUACCUUUUUAAAUCUUUGAGGCAUGCAAGAAAUUUUUAAAAUAUCUCGGUCAGUUUACUUAAAAAACGCUGAGGAAGGGUUAGUAUCCAAAGCCUAUAAAGAACUUACCAAACUCAACACCCAAAAACCAAAUAAUCCAGUUAAGAAAUGGGCAGAAGGCAUGAACAGACAUUUUUCCAAAGAAGACAUACAGUUGGCUAACAGACAUGAAAUGAUGCUCAACAUCACUCAUCAUCAGGAAAAUACAAAUCAAAACUACAAUGACAUAUCACCUCACACCUGUCAGAACAGGUAAAUUAACAACACAGGAAACAACAGAUGUUAGCAAGGAUGCAGAGAAAGGGGAACCCUCUUACACUCUUGUGGGACUGCAAACUGGUGCAGCCAGUUUGGAAAACUCUGGAAAAGAGUAUAAGGGUUUCUUAGAAAGUUAAAAAUAGAACUACCCUAUGACCCAGCAAUUGCACACUAGGUAUUUACACUACUAGGUACAAAAAUACUCAUUCAAAGGGACACAUGUACUCUAAUGU